CGUCUCACAAGGACAGACAGACAUGGCUAUAACGACUCGACUAUUCAUGCUGAUGAAGAAUUUAUAUACUUUAUGGGGUCCGAAACGCUUCCUUCUGGGUGUUACACACCUCAAAUCGAAUAUACCCCUUAACUCUUUGGCUAUCGCGUAUAGAAAUGCUCUCAGAGCAUCUUCCCGUUGCAGUCUUUCGGCAGCCACUGUCCGGUGUGGUCGCAGAAUAUAAAAUCCAACUAUUUGCCACUGGCAUCGCAUUGUUGGUCUUGUUGCCGGGUGUGCAAUGGAGCGUGUGUAUUCAAAUGCGAUGGCCCCGCAGCGACGACGCUUUCUUUGUGUCUCUUCGGUAUUUAAUCAAAAAUCGAAAAAGAGAGGAGCAGAAAAAAAAACACACACAGACCGUGGAAUACAAAAAACGAGACGAGCACACAAAAAUAGCGACAAAUCAACCGAAAAUUAUAAAAGAAAAGAAAGAACUCGACAAAUCGAUUGUGGAAUCAAUGCAAUAAAUUAACUUGAAUUUGGUUUUCGCUUUGCCAGCCGAUUUCGAUAAAAAUAAAAAUAAACCAAAAAAAAACAAACAGAGGGAAAAACACAAGAAGAAAUAAAUGAAAUAUCGUAAAACAAAAGGCCCAGCGGGCCAACCGGUGGAAGCCCAUUCCGAGCCCGAAUCCGAAUCCGAAUCCGAGCUCCACAUCACGCCAUGAAAUAUGACCAGAAUUUGGCCAGGUUGCCGUUGCCGUUGCCGAGCAGCCCAAAACAAAAAAAA